AGCAAACAGGAUUAGAUACCUGGUAGUCCACGCUGUAAACGAUGUCGAUUUGGAGUUUGGGGGCAUGACCCUUGGGCUCCGGAGCUAACGCGUUAAAUCGACCGCUGGGGAGUACGGCCGCAAGGUUAAAACUCAAAUGAAUUGACGGGGGCCCGCACAGCGGUGGAGCAUGUGGUUUAAUUCGAUGCAACGCGAAGAACCUUACCUGGUCUUGACAUCCAUAGAAUCUUUCAGAGAUGAGAGAGUGCCUUCGGGAGCUAUGAGACAGGUGCUGCAUGGCUGUCGUCAGCUCGUGUUGUGAAAUGUUGGGUUAAGUCCCGCAACGAGCGCAACCCCUAUCCUUUGUUGCCAGCACGUAAUGGUGGGAACUCAAAGGAGACUGCCGUUGAUAAAGCGGAGGAAGGUGGGGACGACGUCAAGUCAUCAUGGCCCUUACGACCAGGGCUACACACGUGCUACAAUGGCGUAUACAAAGGGAUGCGAAGGUGCGAACUGGAGCGGACCUCACAAAGUACGUCUAAGUCCGGAUUGGAGUCUGCAACUCGACUCCAUGAAGUCGGAAUCGCUAGUAAUCGUGAAUCAGAAUGUCACGGUGAAUACGUUCCCGGGCCUUGUACACAUCGCCCGUCACACCAUGGGAGUGGGUUGCACCAGAAGUAGAUAGCUUAACCUUCGGGAGGGCGUUUACCACGGUGUGGUUCAUGACUGGGGUGAAGUCGUAACAAGGUAACCA
rnacentral:rRNA from 1 species